GAUGAAGAACGCAGCGAAAUGCGAUAAGUAAUGUGAAUUGCAGAAUUCAGUGAAUCAUCGAAUCUUUGAACGCAUCUUGCGCUCCUUGGUAUUCUGAGGAGCAUGCCUGUUUGAGUGUCAUUAAAUUCUCAACUACACUGACUUUGAAUUGGUGUGGCUUGGAUUUGGGGGGAAAAUUGUUGUGGGCUUUUUGUAUAGUCUGCUCCCCUGAAAUUGAUUAGCGGUACCUUUGUGGAACUGUCUACAGGUGUGAUAAUUAUCUACAUCUUAGACAUCUGCUGGAAUGCUGCUUUCUAAACCUUGCUUGUAUUGACAAUCUUGACCUCAAAUCAGGUAGGACUACCCGCUGAACUUAAGCAUAUCAAUAAGCGGAGGA
rnacentral:misc_RNA from 1 species